rnacentral:rRNA from 1 species
AGAGUUUGAUCCUGGCUCAGGACGAACGCUUGCGGCGUGCCUAAGAAAUGCAAGUCGAACGGUGUAGCAAUACAUAGUGGCGAACGGUCGCGUAACACGUAAGCAACCUGCCCGAAAGUGGGGGACAACAUCUCGAAAGGGGUGCUAAUACCGCAUGUGGUUGUUUUCUCGCAUGAGAGAACAUCUAAAGCCUUGUGCGCUUUCGGAUGGGCUUGCGGCCUAUCAGGUAGAUGGUGGGGUAACGGCCUACCAUGCCUUUGACGGGUAGCUGGUCUGAGAGGAUGUCCAGCCGGAUUGGGACUGAGAUACGGCCCAGACUCCUACGGGGGGCAGCAAUUAGGAAUCUUGCACAAUGGGGGAAACCCUGAUGCAGCGACGCCGCGUGAGGGAUGACGGAUUUCGGUCUGUAAACCUCUUUUAUCGGGGACGAUACUGACGGUACCCCGCGAAGAAGCCUCGGCUAACUCCGUGCCAGCCGCCGCGGUAAUAC